AACCAGAAGGCGCAAUGAAAGUGAAGGCACGGUCGCCGUGCUGAGGUGAGAGCUGUCAACGGCAGCGCAUCAUUGACCGAUCCCAUCCGCACCGCAAGGCGCGGCGGGAUUCGAGUAAGAGCGUACCUGUUGCGACCCGAAAGAUGGUGAACUAUGCCUGAAUAGGGUGAAGCCAGAGGAAACUCUGGUGGAGGCCCGUAGCGAUUCUGACGUGCAAAUCGAUCGUCAAAUUUGGGUAUAGGGGCGAAAGACUAAUCGAACCAUCUAGUAGCUGGUUCCCUCCGAAGUUUCCCUCAGGAUAGCUGUAGCCCGAAGCAGUUUUAUCAGGUAAAGCGAAUGAUUAGAGGUAUCGGGGAAGAAACUUCCUCGACCUAUUCUCAAACUUUAAAUAGGUAAGAAGUCCGACUUGCUUAAUCUGAAGCCGGACACAGAAUGCUGGGUUACUAGUGGGCCAUUUUUGGUAAGCAGAACUGGCGAUGCGGGAUGAACCGAACGCCGAGUUAAGGUGCCAAAGUCGACGCUCAUCAGAUCCCACAAA
rnacentral:rRNA from 1 species